rnacentral:lncRNA from 1 species
GUCAGGGUCUAAAAAGAUGUGUUUUAAGUUGCUUUGAUUUGUUUUAUAGCUAAUUAUUUGAUUAAAGAACACAUUCCACUAAUUGUUGCAUGUUUUUUUAGAAUGAUGUUGGUUUAUUUUCAUAUCCACAACAGAGUAUGUCACUGCAUUCUCUAUCCUUUUAACAGAAUAUGGAAAUAGAACAUCUGCCAUGCAUAACCACACCAAUUUUCUCUCUUUGGAAAAGAAUCCACAGACUUGUUCCUGAACAUGUUUUGCUGAAUCAGCUCCACUUAGAAGACUGUCAUGGAUGUGCUGUGGAAGAGGAUUUAAGUCCUUGGGAGGGUGUCAGUCCUUUCCCUCUUUCAGUGGUGAGACCUAACAUGUAUGUACCGCAGUGUGUACCGCUCAUCUAAGAGAAAGCCUGUCCGCUGCUCCUCCCUUCUGAGCCAACCGCUGGGGAAGGUCAUCAGAGGAAGGCGAUGGGCAUCUUUCAUUUCACGCUGAUGUGGAAACAGGACAGGCCUUUGCACCUGCCCCCUCACUACAACACAGAUAUAGAGACCCUGGACAUUUCCAGAGAAGGGUAAGGAAGCUAGUUAAAAUGUCUGGAGCUCAAGUCUUAUGAAGAGCAUCUGAGAGAAAUGGAGUCUGGAGAAGAGGAGGCUCAUGGGAGACCUUAUCACUCUCUACAACUCCCUGAAAGGAAGAUGUAGUGAAGUGUGAGUUGGGAUCUUCUCCCGUAUAACAGUAACAGGACAUACUGUAAAGGGCAAAAUAUAGUAUGAAGUCUAAAAGAGUCUUGCCACCUAGAUGCUGCAUGACAAAUAGCUCUUUCUCUAGGGUACUUCUGAAACCUUUGUCCCUAAUCUACCAUGGAUGUAGAGUAAUGAGAAGAAUUAAGUACGGCUAUUUAAUACCAAUUUGUUUUUUACUGCCAAAUUUUUCUGGUGGCUUCUUCCAGCAUUUUGAGCACUCUCUCAGAAUAUCCAUCAGAAUUUCUAAUAGGGAUCUUUGCAUCUUUACAUGAGAGUAUUGAGAACAGGCAGUCCUGAAAUAUGAUGUUAAUGUUUGCUGUUCUACACAGCUAUUUUUAAUAUCACAGAUUCAGGUUUUUUCAAUAUUUGCAACUCAGUUUUUCAUAUCCCCUCUGUGCUCCUUCUGGAAAAUAGAAUGGAAAGUCAGAGAAUUUGAGAAAGCACUCAAAACUAUGGGAGUCUGCAGGUGAUCAAAUUGUCACCCUGAAAUAGGAACAAAACCAUGUGACGGUUGCAUUGUAAAAAGGUUAAGGAAAACCCUUGCUUAUUACAGUCAAUUCUUGUCUUUUCAGAUAACAAACCUAUUAAAGAAUUUCUAGGUAGGCUAACUGCCUUUUCUGGUAUUUUAGAAAAUGGAAGAAAACAGAAGGUAAGGCAUAUGUUGUGUUAAGAGAAAUUCAGAGAUUGAAGGUGUGAUGCCACUUAGGCACUGACAGCUGCAGUGGUCAUAACUUAAAAUGUCUUUGCAUAUACUAAAAUCAUAAAAUCAAAAUUCCACUGUGGUAUGGAACAGCACUGCUCGAAAAUCAGACAGUGUUUUGAAAGAUUUCUUGGCUGUUUUACAAAUUCUCUCUCUCAUCUCUGACUGCUACAGAUCAUAAAGCUAUGUUUCUACAUAUUAUGUCUAUUUAACAUAUUUACGGUACGUGUCAUUUUGAAUGCUGUCCACAGUGUUGUCCUGGCAUUACCCAGAACAAAAAAUGUAAGACAUGUAAAAACACAAAGACGCCCACCUGAUUUAACAGGUGUGACGAUUUACAUUCAGUUCAGUCUCAGUACCUUUUUUUUUCUUCCCACAGACCAUUAUGGGUUUGUAUCCAGAGAUGAAAUCAAUGUGCUGAAUUCUUUGCUUCAGUAGCCAUUAGAGUUUAUCUGUGCUUAACCCUGCCAUUAAAUAGUGCUGCUUAAAUUCAUUGUUCUUUAUCAGAACGGUAAAAUAACUGCUUACAAAUCUUCUGCUUGGACUUGCAGUUUGGCUGAGUGGUAGGCUGAUGGGUUUCCUGGGUAAUGUUUUGAACCUCGCUACAUUCAUGAGAUCUGAAUUUGCUGGCUACUGCAUGCAUCUGCUCCACUGAUGUUUCUAUCCUGAUCCUCCAUACUGUUCUUCAACAGCUUUCUGGAUGAUCUUUUCAAUUAGAGCACCGCCUUGAGAUUUUAUUUUCCCAAAGAAGAAUUAUGUAACGUUUGUACUGAGUCAUAUUUGCCAUCUGCUGAUCCAACCACAUAAAUAAUCCAAAUUCUUUAAAAACUGC